UCCGGCUUAUCACCGGCAGUUUCUUUAGAGUGCUCAACUAAAUGGUAGCAACUAAAGACGAGGGUUGCGCUCGUUGCGGGACUUAACCCAACAUCUCACGGCACGAGCUGACGACAGCCGUGCAGCACCGUCCACCAGGCCCCGAAGGGAAACCCCGUUUCCGAGGCGGUCCUGGCAAAUUUAACCCAGGUAAGGUUCUUCGCGUUGCAUCGAAUUAAACCACACGCUCCGCUGCUUGUGCGGGCCCCCGUCAAUUCUUUUGAGUUUUAGCCUUGCGGCCGUACUCCCCAGGCGGAACACUUAUCGCGUUGGCUGCGGCACAGACAGAUUCGACUCCGCCCACACCUAGUGUUCAUCGUUUACGGCGUGGACUAC
rnacentral:misc_RNA from 1 species